CCAUUCCUCCUACACACCCCAGCUUCUCAAGCUCAACCCCCUUGUUUGCUGAGGCGGCAGACUGCCAGGCAGAUGUAUGCCGCCGCGGGCAGAAGGAGGCCCCCGGCUACCCGGGCACAAAUACACUCACAUCUGGGCACAACACCUCUCCCACCCAUAUGUAGAAAACCACGCACCUCUCACCCACCUCCCCACACUUGCACAACUUAGCUAGAGUCCCAAAUAUGGCUCGCUCUAACUCCUCCUCUCCUCACCCCCGCCAGUCCUCAUAAAAAAGCCCCCUAAGACGUGCGUUUAAAAAGUCCCAUCAUCACUCUGCUAGGGAAUCAAGAAAGCUGUUGAUACAUAACCUGGGGAUGAGCACACAUAAACACAAAAGCUCACAGGCCCCACAUGUGCAUAUAUGAUACUGCCCGGGCUCACUAAAAUGUGCACUUCUUCAACAGAUUCUACAGACACAACCUACAAAAAUAAUUGCACAGAACUUGUACACACAUGCUGUGCAGAUAAAUGCAGACGUGUGCAUGCAGACUUAUGACACAGGGGUAGUCACCCUAUCCGAGAUGUUGCAUUACAUCCUUAUCUAUCUAUCUAUCUAUCUAUCUAUCUAUCACCUAUCAAUCAUCCAUCAUCUAUCUAAUGUAUAUAUUUAUGCAUAGAUACUGGCUUCAGAGAAACAUCCUUCCCUUCCCAUACUAGAAUCUCCCUAACCUCUUGGUAUCUUGCUUCAGAAUAAAACAAAAAUGCCAUUCUCACCUUGCCUGGGAGGAAGAAAAAUACCCUAAACCUUAGUAUUGGGAAAUAUAAAAAAAAUCGUUGUCUUUUGGGGUCCGUGGCGGAGGAAGGAUGUGGGCUUUUGUGAAAGGCUGGGAAAAGGAGAUAGGGGAGGAGAAUUGUGGAGCAGCAGCCUGACUGGAUUGUGGUGGCCAGUGUCCCCUAGCCAGUCAGGGUACUGGAGCUGGCAGUGUGGCUUGUUAAAUGGAUAGAGUGGGCCAUCUCGGAGGAAAGUAGAAAGAAAGUCUUUCUCAGCUAAGCUCCCAGAGGAGGGAAGGAAAGAAAGGAUGGCUGUUGCUCAGGCUCAAUAACUGAAGCGGGCAAGGAGGGGAAAAUGCCCUGUGGUUCUGGUUGGGAGAGGGGAUCUUAAAACAGCACUGCAGUGAAUCCACAGCCACUGGCCAGUCAUAGCAUAGCUGUUGCAUGCUUUCCUUCCUACCUGAAUGUUUGGGCUACAGGCUCUGUUUGCCAAAGGGAAAAUGAGUGGGAGGGAAAUUCUGGUGGCCACUCAUGAUGGGAAUGGGGUUAGUCAGCUUAGGCUCCCAAACCGAGCUGGAAGCUGGCCGGGAUUCCAGGGCUUGGGGCAUAGGGGUGUCUCUCCCAGCAUGUUUGGGACCCACCCACCCUUGUAACUGAAAAUCUGUUCCCCAAUCUGUCUCUGGCACAUCCUCGAUCCCCCCCCCCCCCACCCUCCACCAAAUGGCAGGAUGUCCUGGAACUCAGCCCCUUGCCUAAAUCAUGGGCACAUCUGGGGCCUUGGUUUGUGCCAGCUCUUGUUGAACUUCAAAUUCAGAAUCCAGAGGGGAAAGGGAAGGAGGAAAUUGGGGAUAGAAUGGGUAUCAGGCCUGGACUCUGUGCUUUUCUCUUCCCAAAUUAGAGCCGAGGAAUUCGGGAUUUAGCGAGUUUGCAGUAAAGUCUCCCAAGUUGCUAGGCAACAUCCCUCUGCAGGCUGCGCUGCCUCUGGGCCCUUCUUCCUGCUGGUCAGAGCUGGAGGGGGGGGGGAGUAUCUUUACAACAUGCCCCCCCCUAAACUCCCACACAGGCAGCCCAGCCCUUCCCUCUUCCUAAGACGCCCUUGUGUGGGGUGAGGGCGUCUCUGAACACUGGCGGCGGUGGAAGAGCAGAAAUGGCAACUGUCAGUUCCAUCCGCAAAACAAGCAUUUCAUCAACAGCCCACUUGAGGCGCCUACGCGGAACUGGCCACUGUGCUUGCCCUGGGGGAUGGGCAAUCUCUGAGGGCAGAAAGAAACUCUUAUCCAGGAGAUGGAGACCCUCUUACUGUCGUCGAGAAUGAGCAUCUCUUGGAGUCUGUGUAUGUGAUGGAAGCACUGAAAGUAAGGGAUUAUUAACUACAAGCUUUUGUUAUUCUGUAAUUUGGAUGGAGCAUUUGAGUUUAACGAGGUGAGCUUCCAUGCUUGGGGAACCAGAAUGCUUCCACAUGCAACCGAGCAGAGCCCUGAGCUCCUUGAGGACAAAGCUCCUUUGUUCAGGAUCUCACUCUGCAUCCUUCAUUCGGCUGUUGAUUUGCAUCCUUUAUCAUAUCCUGUAAUAAACUGGUAAAUGUAA